rnacentral:misc_RNA from 1 species
CAGCCUCAGGGGUGAAGGGGAAUGG